rnacentral:lncRNA from 1 species
CUGGUGAUUCUGUGACCAGUCAUUAAUACAGAUUACUACAAAAAGGUUUACUCUAUAUGUGUUGGUUUCUAUAGGCCUCUCUUUCUGUUUACACAAGAUACAAGAUUCUGACUCAACUUCAGUACCUGACCACCAUGUAUUCAUGUGACUUAAGCCUGGGGAUAACCGGAGUAAGCAGACCUGACUAUAAAUAGGCUGCCGGAGCAGACUGUGAGAGAUUGGAUCUACUCCAUUUUAUAUAUGUCACAUUAAAAUAUCUACAAUAUUUUGUGUUUGUUUUCACAAAGAAUCAGACAAUUAGAUCCUGGGAGUCUGUGGGCAAUUGCAUCCAUUUGCCUUUCCAGGAGGACAGCCCUGCAUACAAUUAAAGUCGCAAGUAAUCAAGAAAAUGAACAGUUUCUACCAGAAAAUGGAUAUGUAUCCUAUGUAAAAUCUAUAAACUAAACCAACCUUUGACAUUUUCAAUGGAAAUGGUGUAACGAACGGACCCAAAGAUAGAUUUAAGUUUCCUGCUCCUAAUGCAAAAGAAGUUGAAAAGUGACUGAUGCCAUCAAUGGCUGUCUGGUUGUUUUAUUAUGUGCAAUUAAAAAUCAGAACUGAUUUGACUGGCUGUUUUCACAUUAUGUAAACACAAUGGAAGGGGGACAUAAUUCCAAUCGCUCCCUUCUGGAAUGUUUUAUGGUAAGUGUUUCUUCUUAUGAUAAUGUAUUUUCCCACUAGGAAACAUUACCUCCACCUCCUAUCAGUACUUGUUCUCACUUAAGCUUUAUUUCCCUCAUUUUGUACUGCCAAAAACAGUCUUUUAAAUGCUUUGUUGGACAAUGCAUUCUGAAU